rnacentral:rRNA from 1 species
CAGCCGCCGCGGUAAUACGGAGGGGGCUAGCGUUGUUCGGAAUUACUGGGCGUAAAGCGUGCGCAGGCGGUUUGUUAAGACAGAUGUGAAAUCCCCGGGCUCAACCUGGGAACUGCAUUUGUGACUGGCAGGCUAGAGUAUGGCAGAGGGGGGUGGAAUUCCGCGUGUAGCAGUGAAAUGCGUAGAUAUGCGGAGGAACACCGAUGGCGAAGGCAGCCCCCUGGGCCAAUACUGACGCUCAUGCACGAAAGCGUGGGGAGCAAACAGGAUUAGAUACCCCCGUAGUCCCUGUCUCUUAUAC